AGGAAAGCAGGGGAUCGCAAGACCUUGCGCUUUUGGAGCGGCCGAUGUCUGAUUAGCUAGUUGGUGAGGUAAAGGCUUACCAAGGCUUCGAUCAGUAGCUGGUCUGAGAGGACGACCAGCCACACUGGGACUGAGACACGGCCCAGACUCCUACGGGAGGCAGCAGUGGGGAAUUUUGGACAAUGGGGGCAACCCUGAUCCAGCCAUGCCGCGUGAGUGAAGAAGGCCUUCGGAUUGUAAAGCUCUUUCAGCCGGAACGAAAAGGUUACGGUUAAUACCCGUGACUAAUGACGGUACCGGAAGAAGAAGCACCGGCUAACUACGUGCCAGCAGCCGCGGUAAUACAUAGGGUGCGAGCGUUAAUCGGAAUUACUGGGCGUAAAGCGUGCGCAGGCGGUUUUGUAAGUCAGAUGUGAAUCCCCGGGCUUAACCUGGGAACUGCGUUUGAAACUACAAGGCU
rnacentral:rRNA from 1 species